rnacentral:rRNA from 1 species
GAAUGAGCCGGCGAGUUGCUUUUUCAGGCGAGGCUAAGCAGGAUAUGCGGAGCCGAAGCGAAAGCGAGUCUUAAGAGGGCGAGCAGUCUGAAGGAGCAGACCCGAAACCGGGUGAUCUAGCCAUGGACAGGUUGAAGUCGGGGUAAGACCCGAUGGAGGACCGAACCGACCCCCGUUGAAACGUUGGCGGAUGAUCCGUGGCUAGAGGUGAAAUUCCAAACGAACCCGGAGAUAGCUGGUUCUCCCCGAAAUAGCUUUAGGGCUAGCGUCGCGAGACGGCAUGCGAAGGUAGAGCACUGAAUAUGCGAUGGCCUCAUCCCGAGGUACUGAGCAUAAUCAAACUCCGAAUGUCGCACGUCCAGUCGCGGCAGUCAGUCCGCGGGUGAUAAGGUCCGCGGACAAGAGGGAAACAGCCCAGACCAUCAGCUAAGGUCCCAAAGUGCAUGCUAAGUGGAAAAGGAAGUGGAGACGUGCAGACAACUAGGAGGUUGGCUCAGAAGCAGCCAUCCUUCAAAGAGUGCGUAACAGCUCACUAGUCGAAUGACUCUGCGCCGAUAAUUGACCGGGGCUAAGCAUGACACCGAAGCUAUGGAUUCGAAAGAAUGGUAGGGGAGCGUUCCAUGCGGCGAAGAAGCGCGACCGAGAGGGCGCGAGGAGCGCAUGGAAGAGAGAAUGCCGGCGUGAGUAGCGAGACGUGGGUGAGAAUCCCACGCACCGAUGGCCCAAGGUUUCCAGAGGAAGGUUCGUCCGCUCUGGGAGAGUCGGGACCUAAGGAGAGGCCGAAAGGCGUAUCCGAUGGACGACGGGUGGAGAUUCCCGUACCCCAUCGAGAGCGAGGGAGUGACGGAGACGGCAGGAGCGACCGGCUGACGGAAUAGCCGGGGCAAGCGAAGCAGCCGCGCAGCAGGCAAAUCCGCUGCGCAUAAGGCGAGGGCGUGAAGCAUACGGAAAGCUGCGGCAAGUACGGAAAAGCUCUGGGACGUCUUCCAGGAAAAGCUUCUAGCAUAUCGAGAUGGGCCCGUACCGAAAAUGGACACACAUGGGCAAGGAGAGGAUCCUGAGGUGAGCGAGAGAACUAUAGCUAAGGAACUCUGCAAAAUGACCCCGUAACCUAGGGAGAAGGGGUGCUCGUCAAAGACGAGCCGCAGAAAAACGGCCCAAGCGACUGUUUACCAAAAACACAGCUCUCUGCUAAAUCGAAAGAUGACGUAUAGGGGGUGACGCCUGCCCGGUGCUGGAAGGUUAAGAGGAGAUGUCAGGCAACGAAGCAUUGAAUCGAAGCCCCAGUAAACGGCGGCCGUAACUAUAACGGUCCUAAGGUAGCGAAAUUCCUUGUCAGGUAAGUUCUGACCCGCACGAA